rnacentral:miRNA from 1 species
UCCGCCUGCGGGAUGACGUCGC